AGUGCCGUCUGAAGCUCAGUUUUCUCACAUGUAAGGAUUCGUAUGGUAUGAACCUGGGCCUUUGGGAGAAAAGACAAGCAAGUGCUGAAAGAGAAGCAAAGAAACCUCCAGAGGACAGGAGGGAACUUCACACCUUCCACUCACCUCUAGCUCCCUCCUUAGGGCUUCCUGAUGUUGGUGGCUUGCCUUCUUUUCCUAUAGAAAGAGGAAGACAGAGCUCUUACUAGGGGGAGGCAGAGAUGGCACAGCAAGAGACAUGCCCCCAGAAGGGCACCACUGCCCCAGGACAGGCCCACCCAUGGGACCAGGUUAUCAGGGACCCUGUGUGGACGGGGUGGGAUCCGGGGGGUGAGCCUUCUUCCCCAGGCUGGGAGUGGGCAAGAGGAGACUGGGGCCUCUACGGCUGAGUGUCCUCCAAACCCAGCAGUCAUGUGAGCAAACAAAGAAAUCACGUUACUUCUUCUAGCUGGGCUCGGUUCUGUUGUUUCUGUGGGGAGAGUCAAAGGAAGGUGACUGAGGGUGGCCCCUUCAACUCUAUUCCCCAGGCCAGGAAGCAGUAGGCAGGGGCCAGGGAUGGAUUUUAAAGGUAGUUCUCAGACCCAAUGGGAACACAAACUGGUAAACUCUCCUCAACUCCCAAAGUAAAAGGACUUGAGUCUUUAUUGGUUUUUGCCCACAGCCACAGAACUCAAAGUCUGAAACUAGAUUCUCUCAAAAAGACAGUCAGAGAAACCUUCAGAGAUGGAGUGUGAGAAGAGCCCACGCUUCUGCCAGCCUGUGAUUUAGAAAGAUGUGAAAAGAGAGGCCCAAAGAGCUCAAGGAAUUUGCCCUCUAUCAUAUCCCCAGCAGAUGGAGAGGAUUCAAACCCAGAAUUCUUAAGCAGUGCCUGGGAGUUCUUCCACAAUCUUAACAGUUACCCUCCACCACCCCUUGGGCCCUCUGUCCCCAGGAGCCUGGCCAGCCAAGACUCACAUCCUCAGUAGACUCAAAGGAAACUGAUGCUUCAGAAAGAUGCCCCAUAUUUAUCCUGUGGCACUCAAAGUACCCCAGGUGGAGAUGAGAUGAGGAAGAUUCAAGCUGUCAAGUUCAGUUUCCCAAGAUCUGUUCCACAGAAGAUAGGCAGAUCUCACUCCAGCAACCACUGACUGAGGGGCACUCUGGUCCCAGAACAAUGCAGAAUUCAAGUCUGAGGUGGAGAACUCAGAAACAAUGUUCGAGUCUCUCUGGAGAGUAGAAGCCUGGGAGAAAAUCAAACUAAACCCGUUCUCCCAUUGCCACCCAGAACACCGUCAAUGUGUUGAGCUCAUGGGGGAGGUGUAGGCUUUUCACACUGUCAGCGUCUGUGUUAAGGAAGUAAGGCAGCCUGAAACCUCUCUCUCCUACGUCCCACAGUCCCCAAUCUCCUUCCAGCUGGAAACCUGUGCUACAACCAGAGGAACCAGAAAUGGGCAAGAACACUUAGGGGACUGGGUCCUAAGACCAAAGACCGGUCUCGUGGCAGUAAUGACAGUUCCUAGAGGGACUGCGACAUCACUACAUUCCACUCCUCGGUGGAGGGGUGGGGGGGACACAGGAGUGCAAUGCCCAAGUUGCCGCUUUGAGAUUGGGGAGUGGGGGGUCACAGGAUUGGGACCCAGGUCCUUGGAGAUGCAAGCCCAAAGAGCCCAGGGAGGUCAGGCUUAGGGUGGCGGGAGGUGAGGGCCGAGUAUGGAGCGGGGAGCCCCAGGAGUCACCUGUCCAAAGUGACCAGGGGACAACUGGUGAGGGCAGGUUCUAGGGCACCCAGGUCUUUGGAGACGUGAGCCCAAAGAGCCCAAGAAGGUCGGGUUUGGGUAGCAGGAGGUGAGGGCAGAGUAUGGAGUGGGAAGCCCUGGGAGUCACCAGCUCAAAGUCACCCUGGGUGAGGGCAGAGGCAGGACUCACGAGGGGGUUGGGCUGGCUCACAAGAUUUUGGUGUGGGGAGCCCAGGGGCACUGGGGGGUUCCCAGCCUAGUGUGCCUCAGCAGUGGCACAGACUCUGGCAGCAGCUUGACUGUCAGAGGGCGCCUGGGGCUGGGUUGGGGUGCCACAACCUGGUGCGUUUUACCUUUUCCUUGGCCUUGGCCAAUUUGAUCGGUUGGGUCUCUUUGGACAUCAUGGGAUGGGUAGGGCGGUGGGGUUGGGGCCACAUCAGCACAAUCCAGGCGAGGACAACUAUACACCUCCAGUCACCUACCAGGUAGCUGUGUGACUGAGCCAGAGGAGGCGUAACCAGGGCCACACUAGAAUGCAGAAUGGGGCGUGGCCUUAAUGCUUCAAGCCUAUUGGUCAAUGAGAAAGAUGCAAGGGAAAGGAGGCGUGGCCAGACAGCAGCCUGUCCUGAAGAACCUGUGAUGUCACAAGGAAAGCCGCCAUGUAACCUCUGUCCCCGCCCACUCCAGGAGAGGGGCGGGGCUGGCUUUCACUUUAAAGACUUUAAAACUGGAUUACCUCAAUUGAGGUACAAAUCCUAUUAAAAUGGAAAUUUUA